GCCAGUUUCGCUUAGUGGUAAAGCAGUGACUCGUAACCAGCCACGAGUUCGAUCCUCGUAACUGGCACCA
rnacentral:tRNA from 1 species